GACGAACGCCGGCGGCGUGCUUAACACAUGCAAGUCGAACGGAAAGGCCCUGCUUUUGUGGGGUGCUCGAGUGGCGAACGGGUGAGUAACACGUGAGUAACCUGCCCUUGACUUUGGGAUAACUUCAGGAAACUGGGGCUAAUACCGGAUAGGAGCUCCUGCUGCAUGGUGGGGGUUGGAAAGUUUCGGCGGUUGGGGAUGGACUCGCGGCUUAUCAGCUUGUUGGUGGGGUAGUGGCUUACCAAGGCUUUGACGGGUAGCCGGCCUGAGAGGGUGACCGGCCGCAUUGGGACUGAGAUACGGCCCAGACUCCUACGGGAGGCAGCAGUGGGGAAUAUUGCACAAUGGGCGGAAGCCUGAUGCAGCAACGCCGCGUGCGGGAUGACGGCCUUCGGGUUGUAAACCGCUUUCGCCUGUGACGAAGCGUGAGUGACGGUAAUGGGUAAAGAAGCACCGGCUAACUACGUG
rnacentral:rRNA from 1 species